GUGGGGAAUAUUGGACAAUGGGCGAAAGCCUGAUCCAGCCAUGCCGCGUGUGUGAAGAAGGUCUUCGGAUUGUAAAGCACUUUAAGUUGGGAGGAAGGGCAGUAAGUUAAUACCUUGCUGUUUUGACGUUACCGACAGAAUAAGCACCGGCUAACUUCGUGCCAGCAGCCGCGGUAAUACGAAGGGUGCAAGCGUUAAUCGGAAUUACUGGGCGUAAAGCGCGCGUAGGUGGUAUUGUAAGUUGGAGGUGAAAUCCCCGGGCUCAACCUGGGAACUGCCUCCAAAACUGCAUGACUAGAGUACGGUAGAGGGUAGUGGAAUUUCCUGUGUAGCGGUGAAAUGCGUAGAUAUAGGAAGGAACACCAGUGGCGAAGGCGACUACCUGGACUGAUACUGACACUGAGGUGCGAAAGCGUGGGGAGCAAACAGGAUUAGAUACCCCAGUAGUCC
rnacentral:rRNA from 1 species